rnacentral:tRNA from 1 species
AUUCUUGUAGUUUAUUAUAUAAAAUAUUACACUGAAAAUGUAAAGAAAUUUUUUUUUCAAGAAUA